GUUAGAGUUAGCUGUGCAACGUUUGUGGGUCUCUCAUCAUCACUGAUCUUCACUUCACUGAGAGAGACAUAACUGAGAAUGUCUCCUGGGAUUCCUCCUGGUCCCUCCUGCUGACUUGUGCCAAGCUGCUGCUGCCUGCUAACCUGUGAACUAAACGGCUGAUUUCCAGACCAUGCAGAUGGGAGUUGCUCCAAAGAAACUUUCUAAACAGGUCCACUUCCUACCUUCCAGCCCCUCUUCUGGAUGUCAAAGAGGAGACCUGUCUCCCUACAUGAAGGCUGGGACUCUGCUAUGCUUUAUGUGCUAUGCUCCGUCGUGGUAGAUGAGUCAGAGUUGAUUAAUGUAUCCUAAAAUACGGUCCUUCAUAUGCAGCUUUGAUUAUAUGUUUAAGUUGUUCAAUUAUAUUUAGAAGGAAAAUGAUAAUUAUUCUCUAAAAUGAAAAUAACUAUAUUGUUAUUAAAAGAAAUGAAAACGGUGUUUGUUUCUCCUAUUGCACAGAUGGGAAUCUAUACUCAGAGGCUUUUAAAUUCUCUAAUAGUAUGUGAAUCAUUACAGCUUUGUAGGCCUUAAGAACCAUAAGAAAGAAAAUGCUUUUUCAUUUAGACCUCAAAAUAGAACCUUGAAAGUUAUGCCAACCUUGUUCCAAAAUAUAUGCACACAAUGAGAUAUUUCUCUAGGGUUCAUUAAUUUGGUGAUGAUUAUUCGAAUUUGGAGUCACCAGCCAGCUUGCAUGAAAUUAGCAGGUGCCAAACUCAAAACUCCAAGAAAUCCAGAGUUGCUUAGACUAUUUCUUACCUAUAGGGAUGUCAGCUCCUUUGCCUAGCUAAAAGUUUCUGGAGGAGUUCUUUUCACAGGACACCAACCUCCCCUUUCCUGCUGUGCCCCUCUUUUUGUCCUGAUAUUAGGUGGAGAACCACACAGGCAUGGAUGAAGAGCAGAAGGUCCCCUUGGUGAGAAUCCUGAGUGCUAAUGAGAGCAGAGAGGAGUCUCCAUGGAGCGGGAGGCACACUCUUCUCAUAGAGCCUUGAUCCCUGCCUUCUGACAGCUGCGUUGUAAUUUCACUUUGUCAAGUCCGCUCAUGGUCGGAGUUUCAUUUGUUGAAAAAAUAGCUGAAAUGGAAGGAGAGGCUGUUACGUCUUUAACAUGCAUCUGCACAGACCUGACUGAGGUGAAUCCCCCAGACGCAGAAGAGCCCGCCAUGGUUUCAGCUCAUGGAAGUUUCCUCUUUCUAUGUUUCCAAACGUGCUGAGUUUUCACAUGUAACAUGUCGGCUCCAAAUUGCCGUGACCACAGCUUCUGUUAAUUAUCCCUGUCUACUACAAAGGAAUAAAGUAUUCUUGAAGGUUUUUUUUUCUUCUUCCCCUUUUAUUUUAAAAUCCUGUUCUGUAGAAAUUUCUUGCAUUCCCAUUUGCUCAAAAUGUAGAGAUUUUCCUUUUCUUUGAUUAAGGAAUAAAUGAAUCCACUCUGAGUUAAAGAAAAUGGCUCAACACACCUCACUUUUUUUUUUAAAUAGUGGAGAAAUAUAUUCCCACAUUUACAUUUCCGGGAAACCAUCUAACAGGCAGGAAAUAUUAGCAGUGUUUCCUCUUGCUGAUCCACAGCCUUCUAAUUUGUCUGGAACACCAAUGGAUCAAGAAGUGUAGCUGUGUAGGCUCUUUCGAAAUUUACCGAACAUUGCUCUGACUACUGGGUCAGCCUUGGGUAUGCAAGGCCACCGUUUCAACCAUCAGGAACUAUUUCCAGAAAGUAUACAUUUUACAUGGCAGCUUGAGCACCCGUUCCUCCUUCUCAUAAUUAGACCACAGUGAACAACUGCUUCCUUGGCUGCUGUCUCGAGCCUUUGCACACUUAACACCACCCUCUGCAGCUUCCAGAAACCGCCUGCUCCUGAUCUACGCUUGACAAAGCUCCCACUCAGAGGGUAUUGUCUUCAGACGGGACUCCCAGAGUUCACGCUAGACAGAGCUGACUCCAGGA